ensembl:lncRNA
GGAAGGCAGCUUCCUCUCCAAUUACGGUGAGGGGCACACACCUUGAAGGUCUCUUUGAAUUGCGGCCGCCAGCCCCUGCCCCCUCCCCUCUCCUCCGCCCCCUCCGCCGGGCCAUUCAUCGCUACAUUAGGGAGGAGGCAGAGGGUGACAAUGCUCCCCCAAGUUCACUUCUCGCUUGUUACAGGCGACCCAUUUAGAGCUGAAUGACAAUGUUCAGAGACAGCUCUAAAUGACACCCUCCACCUCUUCACGGAGCCACUUGGUUUUGUCUUUUUUUUUUUUUUUUUGUAUCCCGGAGAAAUAAUUGAUAAACCUAACGGCCGGCCACCUUAAAGCUGGGCGCCUCCCUGGCCACCUGGUUAAAAUUCCUCCUCCGCUCCCCACCUCCCCACAUCCAUUUUGCUCUGUGCUGUUUAAACAAUACUUCAUCAAAUGCAGCCUGGAGCAAAUAAGAAAGCUCAGUAGAGUAAAUAAAAAGUCAAAAAAAAAAUCACCGGCUGGAGGGUAAGUACUUUUAUUCCUGCACUUUCAUUGCCUGGGGAAUUAUUAUUCCAUUGCCCGAUCUGGGAGGGAGGGAGGGCCGAGGAGGGCCGUGUUAUUCACAAAAUGGAUUGCUUCUCUCCCUUUUCACUCCCCUGGCUCUCGAGAGCCCACUGAUUACAACCAAGUGUGGCCAUCCAUUCCGUCUUAUUGACAAAGGUCCUUAAUUACCGCGGCAGCAGUAAUACCUGCUAUUAAAUUCUGCUAAACAGAGGCUGCAAAUUAGCUGUGGAUCUCAGGCACCUUUUGUGUGUAAUUAUGGCGAGUGGGAUUGACGGGGAGGCCGGAUAACUGACCCCAGCCAGAGCAGCGGGGAAACCUUUGUUUAUCACCUGCGGUGGGGGCCAAAAUGUGAAAUUAAAAGCUCUCCAUCAGCUGAAGGCCUUGGGAAGGCCCAGGGGAAGAAGAAGGAAAAAAAAAAAAGCAACAGACCCAGCAAACUGUGCUUACCGGUAUUUAUAAGCAUUUUGCUCCACUGCAACUUACACUGACAGUUGAUUAACCGAAAGCUCUGCUAAUUCUGCGGGCAAGAUGCUUCCUCAGACAUGCUUCCUCAGUGCACCAGGCAGAAACUGGAGAAAGAUUACAAUUCAACAUGGCAAAUGCUAAAACAGAGCUCCAGAAGCCAUGCCUAUAAUACACACAAGACUUUGUUUCAAAUCAGUUUUUCAGUUGAGCAGGAAUUCAAACUCAGGAAAAGAAGAGGAAUUUACAUUUGACCACGAAGACCGGAGAGGUCUUUGCACACGUUUCUUAAGGGAAAGACAUUUAGGAACUUGGAAACGUUUAUGCCCUAUAAUCAUAGAAUGUGAGGAGCAGCCAGGCGUCUCUGAGGCCAGCAAGGUUAAUGACAUGAUUUUGGAGAUGAGAAAAUUGAGGCCAGAGAAAUCAAAUGACUCAUCCACAUCUGGGACAGGCCAAAGCAGGCACAGGGAUAAAGAACAACUGUUGAGAGAUGGAACUUGCAGCCCAGAUCCUUGGCCGGAGCAUCCCAGCGCUCUGCUUCAUCCAGUCCCAGCUGAUCAGAGUUUCAGCAAAGAGAGAACAUGCUUUCUUAACGGUACACAUAUUCGCUGAGAGUGGAGGAGGGGGGAUGAAGGAGAAGCAAGUUUUCCAUCUGAAAAGAACAUGAGCAUCUGCCUAGCAAUGAACUUCCCUGCUCUUGAACUUGUCAAUUCUUUUCCACCUCUUCAUUCAACACAAUUCAAAAGGCAUAACCUGAAAAAGGGCAUGAUGGAAAGAAGUACUGAGAUCCACUAAAGAAAAGGCACAAUAGUUAAUCAUCUCUUCUCUGGCAUCCUUCCUUCAACCCUACAAAAUAAACAAGUUGAGAAGUUCUUCAAUUUCUGUGACUGUAAGCGAUGUGGUGAAUUAAUGUUCCUAAAUGCUAGCACUAGGUAAAUGAAUUCAUUGUUGAGAAAGUUCUGGAUGAGCCAGUAGCCAAGUUAUUAAUUCCAUUAUAUAUCCUUGUUUGUGUCUGCUCUGGGAUAGAGAUGAGAGAGGAACAUUGUCAUGAAGAAACCCAUUAAAUAUACCUGCCUUUGUAAAAUCUUGCAUCUCAAACUAAAGAUGUACUAUGCUUUUCUUAAAGAACCCAAAAUUCUCAGUGGCCCUACCAAGAUAGGCAAUAAGUUUCUCAAAAAUCACAUUGGCACGUAGGUGCUUACAACUACUCAAUGAAUUUUUAACCAAUACGUAUCCACCUGGAAUUAAACCAAGAUGGACUCAUUAGAAGAGCUGUCAGGAUCGCUAUCCAACAUGGUAACUCUCAGGACAGACAGUGGGAGGUCUCUAAAUGUCCCUUUGCAGGACUUUCAAAGGGCUCAAUUCAGGUGUGGGAAACCUGUCUUUAAUGUUUUCAUUACUGC